UCCCUGGUGGCUCAGAGGGUAAAGCAUCUGCCUGCAAUGCGGGAGACCUGGGUUUGAUCCCUGGGUGGGGAA
rfam:Ovis aries breed Texel chromosome 1, whole genome shotgun sequence.